GACGAACGCUGGCGGCGUGCCUAAUACAUGCAAGUUGAGCGCUGAAGGUUGGUACUUGUACCAACUGGAUGAGCAGCGAACGGGUGAGUAACGCGUGGGGAAUCUGCCUUUGAGCGGGGGACAACAUUUGGAAACGAAUGCUAAUACCGCAUAAAAACUUUAAACACAAGUUUUAAGUUUGAAAGAUGCAAUUGCAUCACUCAAAGAUGAUCCCGCGUUGUAUUAGCUAGUUGGUGAGGUAAAGGCUCACCAAGGCGAUGAUACAUAGCCGACCUGAGAGGGUGAUCGGCCACAUUGGGACUGAGACACGGCCCAAACUCCUACGGGAGGCAGCAGUAGGGAAUCUUCGGCCCUGGACGCCCGUCUGACCGAGACACGCCGCGUGAGUGAAGAAGGUUUUCGGAUCGUAAAACUCUGUUGGUAGAGAAGAACGUUGGUGAGAGUGGAAAGCUCAUCAAGUGACGGUAACUACCCAGAAAGGGACGGCUAACUACGUG
rnacentral:rRNA from 1 species